AUGCACUUUGAGCCUGAUAGAUGGAAUGAGCCAGCAAAGCCUGGAACAUUCCAAGUUUUUGGUGCUGGACCAAGACUAUGUCCUGGAAACAUGCUUGCAAGAAUUCAACUAGCACUUUUUCUUCAUCAUUUGUCCAUAGGAUACAAGUGGGAGCUGGUUAAUCCAAAUGCAGAUAUCAUUUAUCUUUCUCAUCCUGCUCCUAUUGAUGGGGUUGAGGUCAUUUAG